CCUGAUUAAUCACAACUGGGAGCCAUUGUGUCUUGAGCAUAGCACUCUACGUUCUCAUUGUGUCUCGUUAACGCUGGCUCUUGCGAAUAACCUGGGAUCUAGAGGCAAACUCACUGACUAACUUCCUCCCUUUGCCAUCUAUUCUCUUCAGCGUCUUCCACGACAUCUGUCCCCUUGGUAUCUGAACACCUGCCCUUCGGGUUGUAUUUUGCAAGGAAAAGAGCUAGGAACUUUUGCUUUCAUGAAAGCCACGUUUAGCCCUGACCCAGCCAAGUCCCCAAAGCAGUCAGGACCGAAUCUGCUUCACAAAAUCCAAGCUCUAUCAAUCACCUUCCUGCAUCAUUUCUGCUCCCCUUUGCCCGAAUUCCUGCUUCACUCCUGGAUCCCUUGUGUUUGUAUUAUGACCCUGCCUGCACUAUUGGUUCCAGUUUUUGAAAAUUUCCGUGAGAUCCCUUCCGAGUCUCCAGUUGUGCAACCACAAAGACGUUACUCCUUCGCUAUGAUCUUCCAGCUUGAUACAAUCUUUGCUGCCCUUUGUUCCAUUCUCGCCUGGGCUGUAAUCUCCCUGUGGUCUGGUGAUGGGGAUUGCCCAAGGAAUUCUAGCUUGGGCGGAGAGGGGACACCUGCGGCGGUAACAGCGUCACCUCUGUCCUUUAAAGGGCUCGAUUUGCAAGAGGAGGGGCAUGCUGGCAUGUAGAAUAUGCUCAGUGCAAAGUGCAAUAAGGACACAUCCAUGCAGACCCUCAGAGCAUCCUCUGCCGUGAUGUCCGAGCCAGGUCUGGGCCUGUGUGUGAUUAGACGUGUCCAACAGAUUCAGGGUUUUAUAAAAGGAGGGGAAAUAAUAAAAUCUAAACCAAGCACCAGACCCCAGAGGCUCCAUUAGGAAUGUCCCCAUUGCUACUGAUUUUACCCAGAAGACGCUCGUGUUCUUCAGUGAAGGGAAGCAGUCAAACAGCUUCAGAUAAGCCAAGUGGUGGGGGUUCUGGAGACAUGUCAAAGUACAGAAACAGCCAGCGCUAGACAGAAUACAGGGCUGCUGUAUAGAAUCGCUCCACUAUGCACUUGUACCUAUUAGGGAGAGGCAGCAAAGUGUAGUGGUUAGAGCUGGGGUGGGCCUGGGUUCUAUUCCUGACUGCUAGUGACCUUGGGCAAAUUGCUGCAUGCCUCAAUUUGCCCAUCUAUAAAACAGUGGAUGAGAACCCCACAGCACUGAGAUCACCAAAUGGACUUAGAUGCGAGCUAUAUUAAUGCUGCAAAGGAAUAUUAUGAGAUUUGUAUGUAAACACCACUUAGCUCAGUGGGAAAUGUGUUGCAUGAGCUGUGGCAUGCAAGCGGGAAGUAAAGUGUGCAAAAGAGCAUGUGCAGAGAACUGCCACGUGCACUGAUGCUGCAGGUGCAAUUCUGAACAUAAUUCUUCUUUUUUUCUGUGCAAUUUUGCAGACUGGACCCCUCAACUGAGCAUUUUCCUGCACACCUCAGAAAAGGAGGUCUAUUUGGAACACCUGACUCAGAGGACAUAAAUCCUGCUGCUGUCUCAGACUCUUGUGAACAUAAGAACGGCCAUACUGAGUCAGAUCAAUGGUCCAUCUAAACCAGUAUCCUGUAUUCCCACAGUGGCCAAUGCCAAGUGCUUCAGAGAGAAUGAACAGAACAGGACUGCGGCCAGCAAAAUGAUUAGAAAAGCCUCCAUCUCCUUGGGAUCCUCUCAGCUUGCAGAGAAAAGGACAGCUUCUCCGGUGGGGACAAUGGAUUGCCUUGGCAAACCAGGACAGCAGUUUUAAAGGCUUGGUAGCAGAGCCAACACAGCUCUGACAGUCUGGAUUGACUUUUGUUUACAAUUUACAAAAAUAGACAAAGCAAAAACAAAAGGAAAUCUUCAUAUGAGAGAAAGAGAGAGAGAUAGCACAGUGUAUUCAAAUCCUUCUGUAACAGCCAUCGUGAACUGACAAACAGCACUGCCUCUAGUGGGAAGACAAGAAGACUCAAUCCAUUUGAAGGUGCUGUACAUAUGAGAUGUUAUCUGAUUAAAAUAUGACCAUGUAGACCAUUGUUACUACCACUGUUAUAUAAUUGCAAUAAAUCUUAUACAUAGUGUGCCAUGUAAGGUGUCAAUGGAAAGGUUAUGAUUUGCUGAAUAUGAUUAUCCUAUUUGUAUGCAUAUAUCCUUUUUGUAUCUGAAGUUAUGAAUAUUGACUAUGUACUUGUAUUUCAAAUGUAUUUGCUCCUAUGGUAGCACCCACAGGGUUAUUUGCAUCCUGUCUGGCCAGCACAUUGUGAAUGGAGUAUUCAAGUUGAUGGCUCAUCAGUGAACACAACGGACCAUGGAAGAAGCCUAUCUACACCUGAAGGACUUUCCUGUGAACGUUCUAACUAGAGUUUGGGUAAUAUCCUCUGCUAUGACUCAGGAAAGUGUGCAAGGGCAUGUGACUAAAAUCAUGUGACCCUAAACUCCAUCUUGUUACAUGUAUUUUUCUACAAACUGGGCGGAGGGCUUUGUUUGGACCAAUGGGUUUCCCUCCACAUGGCAGAAGCUAGGAAAGGCGCUGGAAACAUCUCCAUUUUGCCUCUUUCCCACUCUAACCUCUGGACUAUGGACUUACACUAAUGGGAGCAUUCUAACCAAGGCACUGAGAACCUUCCAAAUUAUUUGGAAGCAACCAGAGAUUUAACAAGCCAGCAGUUUAUGCCAUCACUGCUACAAGCCUAAUCCAAGAACUUUUCAAUUAUUGUAUGUAUUUGAUUCCUUUAACCAAUUUUAACUCUCACCUUUUUCUUUCUUUUUUUAAUAAACCUUUAGUUAUUAGAUACUAAAGGAUUGGCAACAGCAUGAUUAUUGGGUAAGAGCUAAGAUACAUAUUGACCUGGGUAUGUGGCUGGUCCUUUG